rnacentral:tRNA from 1 species
GGAGAGUUGGCCGAGUGGUUGAUGGCGCUGGUCUUGAAAACCAGAAGGGUCGAGAGACUCUCGCAGGUUCGAAUCCUGCACUCUCCGCCA